rnacentral:lncRNA from 1 species
UUGUAAAAGGGAGACUUUCAUUUUCUCUCUCGGAAGUUCGAGAGCCUCCUCUCAUCUCAACAUCUCUCACCUCCAUUUUUAUUUUUCGAUUGGGAUGUUUUCAUGGUAUCAGAGCGGACGAUCAUCCGACAAUUCUCUGCUAUAUCUUGUUAUCCUAGUCGAAAUCGCGUUGGAAAUUUUUCGGGUAUGUGUGAGAUAUUUGGUCAGUGAUGAUCUCGAUAUGAAUCGAGUGUUAAUCUGAGACUUUUAUCACCAUUAAC